rnacentral:rRNA from 1 species
ACGCACGCUGGCGGCGUGCUUAACACAUGCAAGUCGAACGGAAAGGCCCUGCUUUUGUGGGGUGCUCGAGUGGCGAACGGGAGAGUAACACGUGAGUAACCUGCCCUUGACUUUGGGAUAACUUCAGGAAACUGGGGCUAAUACCGGAUAGGAGCUCCUGCUGCAUGGUGGGGGUUGGAAAGUUUCGGCGGUUGGGGAUGGACUCGCGGCUUAUCAGCUUGUUGGUGGGGUAGUGGCUUACCAAGGCUUUGACGGGUAGCCGGCCUGAGAGGGUGACCGGCCACAUUGGGACUGAGAUACGGCCCAGACUCCUACGGGAGGCAGCAGUGGGGAAUAUUGCACAAUGGGCGGAAGCCUGAUGCAGCAACGCCGCGUGCGGGAUGACGGCCUUCGGGUUGUAAACCGCUUUCGCCUGUGACGAAGCGUGAGUGACGGUAAUGGGUAAAGAAGCACCGGCUAACUACGUG